rnacentral:rRNA from 1 species
AACGAACGCUGGCGGCAUGCCUAACACAUGCAAGUCGAACGAAGCCUUCGGGCUUAGUGGCGCACGGGUGCGUAACGCGUGGGAAUCUGCCCCUUGCUUCGGAAUAACAGUUAGAAAUGACUGCUAAUACCGGAUGAAGUCUUCGGACCAAAGAUUUAUCGGCAAGGGAUGAGCCCGCGUAGGAUUAGGUAGUUGGUGGGGUAAAGGCCUACCAAGCCGACGAUCCUUAGCUGGUCUGAGAGGAUGAUCAGCCACACUGGGACUGAGACACGGCCCAGACUCCUACGGGAGGCAGCAGUGGGGAAUAUUGGACAAUGGACGCAAGUCUGAUCCAGCAAUGCCGCGUGAGUGAUGAAGGCCUUAGGGUUGUAAAGCUCUUUUACCAGGGACGAUAAUGACAGUACCUGGAGAAUAAGCUCCGGCUAACUCCGUG